AUUCCUCCAUUACACAAGGCCCAGGACUCCUGGGUUCUCUCCCCAGCUCUGGGAGUGGAGUGGGGUCUAGUGGUUAGAGCAGGGGUGGGCUGGGCUGUGAGUCUUCAGUCUGUUCCUACAAGGAAGCCCAGGAUUUUCCCUCUUACCCAUCACGUUCACACUGAUCCUCGUCAUCCACUUCUCCUCCCACUUCUUCCUGGGUUUCGAGGUGAUUUGUCUCAGCCCAUAGGAGCCGUUCUCGCUGGCCCACAGGUCAGACAGCUGCAGGCUGGAAUCUCUCUCCAGGUCCCUGCAAAGGCCGGGCUGAUGGCAGCGUUGUGUUUAUACAGGAUGGUGCCACUGAAAUCUUUCUUCUCCGGGUCAUACCCAGGGUUCAGGUACCAGGCCAGGGAGUUGAUGGUCGGGUUAUUUGGCGUUCUGGGGUUCAGGAGGCAGGAUUGAUAGCGGCACGGGAUGGACAGACAGGCCCCCAUCCAAGCAAUCAGAGAUGCGGGCACCUCAACGGGUUGGUUGCAUUGACAGAGGAAGCCUGGAAGCAGCAGAGUGACAGAGAUGGCAGCGAGGGGCAGGCUGGCCGGGUGCUUCGGUGCCGAACUGGGACUCAGGAGAUCGGGGUGCUGAGUUUUCCCGCAGGCCAGAGACGGAGUCACCCUAUGAGGAACUCCAAGGACGGACACAAGAUAUUUACAACGAGUUGGUCUUACCCCAAGCGGGUUCCCGCUAAUCUCUGCUGAAAUCCCAACCAGCCGGGGACUCCUCUGCAUGGCCAGGACCUUAAAGCCAUCGCUCAAUGGGGCCAGAUCCCAGCAGGGGUCCACAAGCGCCGACUUUCCAUUAUGCCGGGGGAUGCUUGACCCCUGGCUCUGCCCUAGGCUCCACCCCUUCCCUCAAGGCCACACCCAUUUGUCCCAGUGGGUGCUCCAGCCCCAGCACACCCAUGGAGUCGGCAUCUAUGCUGGGGUCAAGCAGCCAUAGCUCCAUUGGAAUGAAUGGGGCCAGACCCCUAGUUGGGGUGACAUGGCCGUCACUGCACUGGAGAACUCAACUGGGAAUAAAUAGCUCCGAAAUGCAGGGAUUGGGUCAUUUAUUUUUCUGUAUCAUCUUUAUAAAAAACAGUGGAAAUACCUGUGACGUUCUGUAGCUCGUGGGAACACCCUGCACCCCCACGUUCUGUGCAAUCAUGCAGGGCCGGCGCUUCCAUUAGAUGAUCCUAGGCAGUCAC